rnacentral:rRNA from 1 species
CCUACGGGAGGCAGCAGUGAGGAAUAUUGGUCAAUGGACGAGAGUCUGAACCAGCCAAGUAGCGUGAAGGAUGACUGCCCUAUGGGUUGUAAACUUCAUGUAUAGGGGAAUAAAAUGUUCCACGUGUGGGAUUUUGUAUGUACCAUAUGAAUAAGGAUCGGCUAACUCCGUGCCAGCAGCCGCGGUAAUACGGAGGAUCCGAGCGUUAUCCGGAUUUAGUGGGGUUAAAGGGAGCGUAGGGGGAUUGUUAAGUCAGUUGUGAAGGUUUGCUGCUCCACCGUAAAAUUGCAGUUGAAACUGGCAGUCUUGUGUACAGUAGAGGUGGGCGGAAUUCGUGUUGUAGCGGU